UACGGAGGGUGCGAGCGUUAAUCGGAAUUACUGGACGUAAAGCGUGCGCAGGCGGCUUUGCAAGACAGAUGUGAAAUCCCCGAGCUCAACCUGGGAACUGCAUUUGUGACUGCAAGGCUAGAGUACGGCAGAGGGGGAUGGAAUUCCGCGUGUAGCAGUGAAAUGCGUAGAUAUGCGGAGGAACACCAAUGGCGAAGGCAAUCCCCUGGGCCUGUACUGACGCUCAUGCACGAAAGCGUGGGGAGCAAACAGG
rnacentral:rRNA from 1 species